AUGGCAGCUCAGACCGAGAAGAUGGCCGUCCCCACCGACGCUGAGCUGCUCAAGGCGCAGGCCGACCUGUGGCGCCACACCCUGUGCUACCUCACGCCCAUGGCGCUCCGGUGCGCCGUCGAGCUAGGCAUCCCCACGGCCAUCCACGGCCUUGGCGGCACCGCGUCGCCCCCCGACCUGAUCGCCGCGCUGUCUCUGCCCCAGUCCAAGCUGUCGUUCCUCGGCCGCCUGCUGUAUCAGCUGGCCACGGCGGGCGUCUUCGACACCACCGACGCGGGGACGACGUACCGCCUCAACCCGAUAUCGUACCUCCUGGUGGAUGGCGUCCACAUCGACGGCGACGCAUGCCAGACGGCCAUCGUGCGUGUGGCCUCCUCGCGGUACUACGUGGAGGCGGCAUUCGGGCUGGCGGACUGGUUCCGGAAGGACUUUGACGGGCCGGUGCCUUCGCCGUUCGAGGACUUGCACGGCGCGACCAUCUUCGACGACAGCAUGGCGCUCCUGGACCCGGAGAUGGAUAAGCUGGUCCACGAGGCCAAGGCUUCCCAUAACCAUAUGGGGAUCGGUCUUGUGCUCCGGCAGUGCCAUGACCUGUUUCAGGGACUUGAGUCUCUGACUGACUUGUGCGGUGGUGAUGGCACGACGGCGAGGGCCAUCGUCAGGGCCUAUCCGCACAUCAAUUGCACUGUGCUUGACCUGCCAAAGGUCAUCGACAAAGCUCCGGCUGAAGGUGUGGUUAAGUAUGUUGCUGGUGACAUCUUCCACGUCGUCCCGCCUGCUCAAGCUGUGUUGCUCAAGUCUGUUCUGCACUUGUGGAGCGACGAGGAUUGCAUCAAGAUCUUGGCACAAUGCAAGAAGGCCAUUCCUCCCCGAGGUGCAGGAGGAAAAGUCAUUGUGAUAGAUAUUGUGCUUAGCUCGGCUUCGGGGCUGAUGCUGGAAACCCAUCACCUGGUGGAUAUGUUGAAGCUGGUGAUGACGAGAGGCCGGCAGCGGGAUGAAAAGGACUGGAGCGACAUCUUCAUGAAAGCCGGUUUCAGCGAAUAUAAGAUUUUCAAGAAAGUUGGAGCUCGAGCUGUCAUUGAGGUCUACCCGUAA
rnacentral:rRNA from 1 species